UCUGGUUGAUUCUGCCAGUAGUCAUAUGCUUGUUUCAAGGACUAAGCCAUGCAUGCCUAAGAAUAACUGCACUGCAGGAGUCUGCGCAUGGCUCAUUACAUCAGACGCAAUCUGCCGCAAAAACUUUGCGGUCUCCGCAACAAUGGAUAACUUGGCGAAACGCCAAGCUAAUACAUGAAUCUCUCGGGCGUCCUCCACUCACGCGGCUUCGGUCGUAGCGAGGCGCCCUGCGAAUGAAUGAAAUUAAAACCAAUGCCCUUCACGGGGCAGCAACACUCAGCAGUGUUGACUCAAUUCAUUCCGUGCGAAAGCCGGUUCACCGGCGUCUUCUGAUGAACAACUGCCCUAUCAGCCAGUGAUGGCCGUGUAGUGGACUGCCAUGGCGUUGACGGGAGCGGGGGAUUAGGGUUCGAUUCCGGAGAGGGAGCCUGAGAAACGGCUACCACUUCUACGGAGGGCAGCAGGCGCGUAAAUUGCCCAAUGACAAAAAAUGUUGAGGCAGCGAAAAGAAAUAGGUGUCUUUGAUGUCUCUACGGCAUCAGAGAUUUUCAAUGGGGGAUAUUUAAAGCCAUCCAACAUCGAGUAACAAUUGGAGGACAAGUCUGGUGCCAGCACCCGCGGUAAUUCCAGCUCCAAGAGCGUAUAUUAACGCUGUUGCUGUUAAAGGGUUCGUAGUUGAACUGAGGGCUGCCAAGGAGACAGUACCGUCCCAUCCACCGGAUCGGCGACGCCUGCUCUUGCUGCCCGUGAACGUCAGAAACAAACAUCGCGGGAUCGUUUCCCUCCACCUUCGCGUGCAAUGUACGCAGGAGGGCGCCCGUGUGUCUUACUGUGACUAAAAAAGCGCGACCAAAGCAGUCGUUCGACAUGAAUUUGAAAGCAUGGGAUAACGAAGCCUACCUACGGGUUACCGUUUUGGCUUUUGUUGGUUUUAAAGAUCUGUGGGAGAUUAUGGCUUCUGCAUUGACAAGCGGUUCGGGGUUUCGUCCCCACGCCUCUGCCUUCGGGCAGCUUGCAGGGCCCUGAAUGAAGGAGGGUUGUUCGGGGGAGAACGUACUUGAGCGUGAGAGGUGAAAUUCUUAGACCGCUCAAAGACGAACUACAGCGAAGGCAUUCUCCAAGGAUACCUUCCUCAAUCAAGAACCAAAGUGUGGAGAUCGAAGAUGAUUAGAGACCAUUGUAGUCCACACCACAAACGAUGACCCCCACGAAUUGGGGAGUUUUUGGUUGCGAGUUUCAUCAGCCUUCCGGUUGGUGAGCUCCGCCAAUUAAGAAUACAAUUUACGUGCAUAUUCCGUUGGCUUUACCGCCAAUAUCGGGAAUAUCCUCAGCACGUCCUUUUUUUCCACGCGAAAGCUCGAGGUUACAGUCUCAGGGGGGAGUACGUUCGCAAGAGUGAAACUUAAAGAAAUUGACGGAAUGGCACCACAAGACGUGGAGC
rnacentral:rRNA from 1 species